rnacentral:rRNA from 1 species
CGGUAGUAAAUUUUAAACCAUUAUAUUACGGCGGCUAAUAUUUUUCAGAGGAACUUGUUAAAUAAUCGACAAUCCACGAUAAUUUUAACUUAGUUAAUAAGUUUAUAUACCGCCAUCUAAAGAAUUUUUAUAAAAAUUUUUUCACAAUAACUAAUAGAAAGUUAGGUCAAGGUUUAGCUAACAACUAAGUUUUAAUGAGUUACACUAAAAAAAUUUAAGGAUUUAACUUCUUAAAAAUUUUUAAAAAAGGAUUUGAAAGUAUUAAACACAACAAUAAUAGUAUUUGAAUAUUAUAAUACUAGUGC